AUCAAUCAGUUGUGUGAAGAAUCUGAGUUCUUCAGAGAUUUUCUUCUUGCCUCCUUUCUUCUCACUUUCAGAUAGAACGAAAUUCAUGUCACCUAUAACCAUCCAUGGCAGUUCUACAAUGGCUGCUAGAUUCUUGAAGUAGUUCCAGCUAAGGUGUUUCUUAAUUUUAUAGGGGAAUCCAUAAACAGCAGACAUCAACCAUUCAAAGUUCCUAGAUCAAUCUGUAACAACUAUAUCUAUUUGAUUAUCAGUGUUAUUGAUCAAUUGAAUCUAAAUCUUAGAAUACCAGGACAGAUUUAGACACCCUGCAGUGCUAAUCACUCAUGUAGGCUCAACAACAAUCAUAUCCAGAUCUUGAGGGCAUGCAUCUGAGGUGUCUCUUUGCUUGAUUCAGAGUUUCUAUCCAAGAUUGAAGGAGCAAAAAACUUAGGUGGGUUUGCAGUUGCAGGGCCAAAAAUCUGGGAUGUAGGAAGAGGUUUGGAGUAUGGAGGGAAAGGGAUGUUUGAGGGGUUGAUGUGUGUUUUUGAUACUGCAGUUUCAGGUGUGAGUAUUGUGGCUUGGUGGUAGGUGAUAGCACAGAGAUUUGACUGCAAUGGGGCCUUUUGAGUAUGCUUCUUUUAUGUGUUAUUCUUGUUGUAUAAUUGAUGUGGUAGAUUGAUGGUAGGGCUCAGUUCAAAAUCCAUCUUGCUAAUUUUUGCUUUUUGUUUCUUCUGCCUUUGAGUUGUGAUGUGGAGCAUAGCUUUCAUUAGGGCCUUCUCAUAGUUGGUUUUAAAUAUCUAGCUUAACAUUUGAUCUUCUCUUCCUCAUGAUAGUUCUCUUGUUGUUGCCUCCAGAUUUUGCCAUUUUUGUUGCUUUGUGUGUUCCUUUUUCCUCUGCUAUUUGUUCUGCAUCCCCAAUGUGUAUUCCUUUCUUGGCAUCUGUGAUGGAUAGUGUUGAGCUGCAAAUAGUCUUUCCAGGAGUCUUGUAAGCUUCAAAUUGGUAGUUUUUCCUUCCUGUUUAUCCCUCAAUAGUGAGAGUUGUUCUCCCUUUCAUGCCAUUGCAAUGAGCCACUAUCUUGUCUCCUUCAUUAGCCUUUUCUUUUUCUUUAGAUUGCUGAGUUACUGCAACAGAGACCCUUCCUUGCACCUUAGCCAAUUGAAUUCUUCUUGUUGAUCUAGUAUAUUUUUUGAAGCUUUCAAAGCCUGGUGGUGGUUCAAUAAAAAUUGCUGGGUCAACUAGUUGGAAGGCAGAGUUUGGGUGUGUAGUAAAGUUAACCUCCGCAGGUGAACCAUGAUCAAAUCUAAAGCUGCUAGAUUUCCUUCCCUUCUUCUUAAACACCCUUUCAUUCUCAUCUCCUGUUCUUUGAAUUUUAUGUGCUGGUGACAUCUCAUCUCCUUCAAAUAGUUGCCUUUUUGAAUGUACAUCUUCAUUUUCAACCAAAGUCUCCUGAAGUAAGACCCCUAGCUGGAAACUUGGUCUUUUAUCCUCCAGUGACUUUUCUUCCUCUGCAAAUGGUCUAACCUCCUCCUUGUCCAAAUUUGAGUUACUUGCUUCCCCUGUUUGUAAGAUUUGUGGGUCAGUAAGCAGAUAUUUUGUUGUAGCUUUGUAAGCUGCAUUUGAUAUUGCUUGCAGCUGAUCUUCUACAAAUGCUUCAUUUUCUUCCUUUUCUUCUAGCUCUUCCAUGAUGGUGUCCUGCAUUGGUUUGUGGCAGAACAUUUCUUCUUUGAGUGACUUAGGAUUCUGUAAUGUUUACAAAACCCUUCAGGUAGCUUCUCAAAGAAAACUUUCACAAUAACAGGUUCUUUUUUCCCCAUAGUAACUGGAAUGUGGUCCCAUAGUUUCUCAUUGACAUUUAUCUCAACAAGUACUCUGGAACAUGAAAGUGUUUGUUGAUUUCUUGAGGGUUUUUCUACCACAAGGCAUGAAGCCAUAAAACUUGCAAUAUUGAAGGGAAUCUGUCUACUUUCACAUUCAGGUGGAAGAUCAGUGAGCCUAGACCAUAUUGCAAUGAUACCCAUGUUUAUUGAGGCAGGAGCAACUCCAAACAAGUAUUGUUGGACCACUAGCAGGAAAGGACCAAAGCCCCAGAGAUUUCUGGACAAAGCAUACAGGACAUCAGAUCUUGAUAGCAGUUUAAAGACAAAAAUGUUUCUUUCCUUGCCUCUGAAUACAAGAGUGCACUCUGGAAAGUUUAGGCACUGAGAAGGUAAAUUGGAAAUGAAAGUUUUAACUUUUUUACACCAUGAUACAACUAGCAUUGUUACCAGAGUAAAGAACCAGAUACAGAAAAGCCAGGAGCCAAUUAACCCCAGUGUUGACUGAUAUAAAAUGUGAGCCUUGCAGAAAGUCUCCAUACACCCAUACUUUGACCAUUAAAAUCUUCCACGGUCAGAGCUAUAUUACUGCAAAACAGAGGGCAGAUAGGAACUGGAGUAAAGAAGCAGGUUGUUGGGAGGUUACUAACAAUCCGGGGGAGGAAUUAGAAUUUGAAUGAGAAUGAGAAUAAUUCAAUGUUUGGUAGGGUUUAAAAGUUUGAAGGGGUAAGGGGCAGGGGACAGGACUGGAGGGAAGUGAUGAAAGUACACAAUCAAUGAGAUAUGGUUUUAAAUCCGCAGAUGGCAGUGCAGCUGAAGGGUUUAGUACAAUGACAGUGCAACUCAUGAAUUCACUUUACUUACUAUUGACAUCACAAUAUCACAAUAAGGGAAGUUCAGAGAUUUUGGUUUUUUGAUUUUUUUGGUUUUUGGAAAGAUGGAAACUGGAGAAAGUUGAGCUACUUCAGGUGAAUACCCUACAAGAAAUGCAAAAGUAUUAGCACAAUUAAGAGAGGAUAGGGUUUACCUUAGUUUUCCGAUGCUGCUAGCUCAGGGAGCUUGGGAGAACCAGUUGAAAGUUACUCUGCACGCAUAUCAAGUCAGAGCGCAAAAAUAUAUAGAGAGAACUUUUUUGGUCUAUGUUUUCUCGAAUAAUCGUAUACAGAUACUUCACGAACAGUGUUCAAAUGUUUCCUCUUUGUGGAAUGCUAUUUUAGGAUUAAUGAAUUGUAAUAACAUAUAUGAAUUUAAA